GGUAGCAAGCAUAUUAUAUAUAUUUACAACUUACCAUCACACACAAGGACACUAGGUAGAAAGCAUAUUAUAUAUAUUUACAGCUUACCAUCACACACGAGGGACACUAGGUAGCAAGCAUAUUAUAUAUAUUUACAACUCACCAUCACACACGAGGGACACUAGGUAGCAAGCAUAUUAUAUAUAUUUACAGCUCACCAUCACACACGAGGGACACUAGGUAGCAAGCAUAUUAUAUAUAUUUACAGCUUACCAUCACACACGAGGGACACUAGGUAGCAAGCAUAUUAUAUAUAUUUACAACUUACCAUUACACACGAGGGACACUAAGUAGCAAGCAUAUUAUAUAUAUUUACAACUCACCAUCACACACGAGGGACACUAGGUAGCAAGCAUAUUAUAUAUAUUUACAGCUCACCAUCACACACGAGGGACACUAGGUAGCAAGCAUAUUAUAUAUAUUUACAACUCACCAUCACACACGAGGGACACUAGGUAGCAAGCAUAUUAUAUAUAUUUACAGCUUACCAUCACACACGGGGACACUAGGUAGCAAGCAUAUUAUAUACAUUUACAACUUACCAUUACACACGAGGGACACCAGGUAGCAAGCAUAUUAUAUAUAUUUACAACUCACCAUCACACACGGGGGACACUAGGUAGCAAGCAUAUUAUAUAUAUUUACAACUCACCAUCACACACGAGGGACAAUAGGUAGCAAGCAUAUUAUAUAUAUUUACAACUCACCAUCACACACGGGGGACACUAGGUAGCAAGCAUAUUAUAUAUAUUUACAACUCACCAACACACACGAGGGACAAUAGGUAGCAAGCAUAUUAUAUAUAUUUACAACUCACCAUCACACACGGGGGACACUAGGUAGCAAGCAUAUUAUAUAUAUUUACAACUCACCAUCACACACAAGGGACACUAGGUAGCAAGCAUAUUAUAUAUAUUUACAACUCACCAUCACACACGAGGGACACUAGGUAGCAAGCAUAUUAUAUAUAUUUACAACUUACCAUCACACACGAGGGACACUAGGUAGCAAGCAUAUUAUAUAUAUUUACAACUCACCAUCACACACGGGGGACACUAGGUAGCAAGCAUAUUAUAUAUAUUUACAACUUACCAUCACACACGGGGGACACUAGGUAGCAAGCAUAUUAUAUAUAUUUACAACUCACCAUCACACACGGGGGACACUAGGUAGCAAGCAUAUUAUAUAUAUUUACAACUCACCAUCACACACGAGGGACACUAGGUAGCAAGCAUAUUAUAUAUAUUUACAGCUUACCAUCACACACGGGGGGACACUAGGUAGCAAGCAUAUUAUAUAUAUUUACAACUCACCAUCACACACGGGGGACACUAGGUAGCAAGCAUAUUAUAUAUAUUUACAACUUACCAUCACACACGGGGACACUAGGUAGCAAGCAUAUUAUAUAUAUUUACAACUUACCAUCACACACGAGGGGAAACUAGGUAGCAAGCAUAUUAUAUAUAUUUACAACUCACCAUCACACACGGGGGACACUAGGUAGCAAGCAUAUUAUAUAUAUUUACAGCUUACCAUCACACACGAGGGACACUAGGUAGCAAGCAUAUUAUAUAUAUUUACAACUCACCAUCACACACGAGGGACACUAGGUAGCAAGCAUAUUAUAUAUAUUUACAACUUACCAUCACACACGGGGACACUAGGUAGCAAGCAUAUUAUAUAUAUUUACAACUCACCAUCACACACGAGGGACACUAGGUAGCAAGCAUAUUAUGUAUAUUUACAGCUUACCAUCACACACGAGGGACACUAGGUAGCAAGCAUAUUAUAUAUAUUUACAACUUACCAUCACACACGGGGACACUAGGUAGCAAGCAUAUUAUGUAUAUUUACAGCUUACCAUCACACACGAGGGACACUAGGUAGCAAGCAUAUUAUAUAUAUUUACAACUUACCAUCACACACGAGGGACACUAGGUAGCAAGCAUAUUAUAAAUAUUUACAACUCACCAUCACACACGGGGGACACUAGGUAGCAAGCAUAUUAUAUAUAUUUACAACUCACCAUCACACACAAGGGACACUAUGUAGCAAGCAUAUUAUAUAUAUUUACAGCUUACCAUCACACACGGGGGACACUAGGUAACAAGCAUAUUAUAUAUAUUUACAAUUCACCAUCACACACGAGGGACACUAGGUAGCAAGCAUAUUAUAUAUAUUUACAGCAUACCAUCACUAACGAGGUACACUAGGUAGCAAGCAUAUUAUAUAUAUUUACAACUCACCAUCACACACGAGGGACACUAGGUAGCAAGCAUAUUAUAUAUAUUUACAACUCACCAUCACACACGGGGGACACUAGGUAGCAAGCAUAUUAUAUAUAUUUACAACUCACCAUCACACACAAGGGAUACUAGGUAGCAAGCAUAUUAUAUAUAUUUACAGCUUACCAUCACACACGGGGGGACACUAGGUAGCAAGCAUAUUAUAUAUAUUUACAACUCACCAUCACACACGAGGGACACUAGGUAGCAAGCAUAUUAUAUAUAUUUACAGCUCACCAUCACACACGAGGGACACUAGGUAGCAAGCAUAUUAUAUAUAUUUACAGCUUACCAUCACACACGAGGGACACUAGGUAGCAAGCAUAUUAUAUAUAUUUACAACUCACCAUCACACACGAGGGACACUAGGUAACAAGCAUAUUAUAUAUAUUUACAACUUACCAUCGCACACUAGGGACACUAGGUAACAAGCAUAUUAUAUAUAUUUACAACUUACCAUCACACACAAGGGACACUAGGUAGCAAGCAUAUUAUAUAUAUUUACAGCUUACCAUCACACACGGGGGGACACUAGGUAGCAAGCAUAUUAUAUAUAUUUACAACUCACCAUCACACACAAGGGACACUAGGUAGCAAGCAUAUUAUAUAUAUUUACAGCUUACCAUCACACACGAGGGACACUAGGUAGCAAGCAUAUUAUAUAUAUUUACAACUCACCAUCACACACGAGGGGACACUAGGUAGCAAGCAUAUUAUAUAUAUUUACAACUCACCAUCACACACGAGGGACACUAGGUAGCAAGCAUAUUAUAUAUAUUUACAACUCACCAUCACACACGGGGGACACUAGGUAGCAAGCAUAUUAUAUAUAUUUACAACUCACCAUCACACACGGGGGA